rnacentral:rRNA from 1 species
GACGAACGCUGGCGGCGUGCUUAACACAUGCAAGUCGAACGGAAAGGCCCUGCUUUUGUGGGGUGCUCGAGUGGCGAACGGGUGAGUAACACGUGAGUAACCUGCCCUUGACUUUGGGAUAACUUCAGGAAACCGGUGCUAAUACCGGAUAGGAGCUCCUGCUGCAUGGUGGGGGUAGGAAAGUUUCGUCGGUUGGGGAUGGACUCGCGGCUUAUCAGCUUGUUGGUGGGGUAGUGGCUUACCAAGGCUUUGACGGGUAGCCGGCCUGAGAGGGUGACCGGCCACAUUGGGACUGAGAUACGGCCCAGACUCCUACGGGAGGCAGCAGUGGGGAAUAUUGCACAAUGGGCGGAAGCCUGAUGCAGCAACGCCGCGUGCGGGAUGACGGCCUUCGGGUUGUAAACCGCUUUCGCCUGUGACGAAGCGUGAGUGACGGUAAUGGGUAAAGAAGCACCGGCUAACUACGUG